rnacentral:rRNA from 1 species
GAAGAACCUUACCAUCCCUUGACAUCCAGAGAAUCACCUAGAGAUAGAWGAGUGCCUUCGGGAGCUCUGAGACAGGUGCUGCAUGGCUGUCGUCAGCUCGUGUUGUGAAAUGUUGGGUUAAGUCCCGCAACGAGCGCAACCCUUAUCCUUAGUUGCCAGCACGUAAUGGUGGGAACUCUAGGGAGACUGCCGGUGAUAAACCGGAGGAAGGUGGGGACGACGUCAAGUCAUCAUGGCCCUUACGGGAUGGGCUACACACGUGCUACAAUGGCAAAUACAAAGGGCUGCUAACCUGCGAAGGUAUGCGAAUCUCAUAAAGUUUGUCGUAGUCCGGAUCGGAGUCUGCAACUCGACUCCGUGAAGUUGGAAUCGCUAGUAAUCGUGGAUCAGAAUGCCACGGUGAAUAC